rnacentral:lncRNA from 1 species
GUGUUUCCUUUCCGGAAGAGACGGUCUUCCAAGCUACCAUUAGCCAUGUAUUCAUAUACUAGACAACCAUAUUCUGGGCAAGCUCCAAGCAGUAAAACCAUGUUGGGGUGUCUCAUGCAACUCAGAACUUCAACCUGCAUAAGGUAUGUGCAUAAUUGUUGAUUAAGUAAAAUUUUAUUCUUCAAGAUACACUUUCUUGGAUAUGACGCAGUAAGUGUGAUGCAAAAUAUGAAAUCAGAAGCGCCUUAUUUUAUUACGAAAGAAAUGCUAUUUAGCAGUUAGUACUUUCUUUCACUCUCACCUCUAGGUGAAACUGUGACCUUCCUUGAGCAGCAUCUGGGCGCAAUACCUUAACUGCAACUAGUGUAUGAUCAAGACGACACUUAAAAACAGGACCAUACCCUCCUUCUCCAAUCUUUCGAGAUUCAUUAAAAUAUUCUGUUGCCUCUUCAAUUUCAUCAAUAGUAUAUCUUCUGUAUCUUAAUGAAAUUAAUGGACUUGACGUGUCUUGAUCCUCGCCUGAUUCUUCAAUGGCUUUCAUUUCAGACUUCAUUCUUUUUUGUGAUUCUAUUUCUUCAAUUCUCUGAGCUGCUUCAUUAUUCUCUAUGGUUGCCUUGGAGUUACCUUGCUCUUGUUGAGAAGUCUUUUUCUUUGCUUCCUCUGAAAAUCGAGCCUCUUCUAAUCUUUGUUCUUCUUCCAUCCUCCAUCGUUGGAGCUCCACUGCCUGUACCACAUAUAAGUUAGCAAUCAUACAGGAUGGUGAAAAUUUAUAAGGAAUAUCUAUUCUAACCUACCUUUUCUUUUGCUGUUAGAGCUUCUUUACAGGCAGUGCUAUACAUUUCCAUUGUUCUCUGCAACUCUAGCUUUAGCCUUCUCAUUUCAGCUUCAACAUCAUCCUGUAGAAGCAAUCAUCAGAAUCUAAUCAACAUGUUCAUCCAGUGAUUUUAUCAUGAGGAUGAUAUUACAAAUGAUUACAAACAAGUAAUUUCAUAUUUUUAAGAUGUAUAAAUAUUUAAGAUCCUGUCGUCAAGAUGUUGUCCUUACAUUUUCAAGUGAAGAUGAUGAGAAGUCAGUAAAAGAACUGAAUGCGCUCCAUUUGGCCACUGAGGGCAUUGAGCCAUUACUACUUUCUGAGCUGGUUGACAAUCGUGAGGUUCUACCCGAAUCCAUGCCAUCGAGGAUCAUACGAUCCGUGCUUGGCCUAUCAGAACUUAUGAAUGAUAUAUCUGAUUCAGAUUCUGAGAGAUCGCCGAACAACUUUCCAUUGAAACCUUUUGGUGGCCUUGAAAAUGGAGACCUGUAUCUUAAAACAUUACGGACAAAUCUUGGCUUCUAUAUUUAUUUUCUGAAAAAGGAUGUUUUUCAUAUAGAUUGGCAAAUUUGACCCAAGGAGUUGGGGAACAGAGAGGGAAACAAUAAUACUUUUACUGGAGAGACUUACUUGAGUAAAUCGUGUUCAUCAAGAAGCAUCAACUUUCGAGGUGUCCUUCCUGUAACUGCUCAACAUUUUUGUUUGUAUUACAUAAACAAGAUAAAUUGGAACAGAUGGAAAAAAAUAAUACAAAUGGAAAGAAGGACAAACCUUUGAGACUGGGAGUAUGCCUGGGAGUGGGACCUGCAUCAGUGGAAAAAUUAUUACCACCAUUAGGAUGGUCCUGCAUUUGGUGUAUUUGGAUAUGAAGAGGGGAAGUGAAUGGUGCUGGACGAGAAGCAUUCCGCACAGCGGAGAUCUUUGAUUUCGAGAUAACAUAAACAGUGCAGAAGUCCGGCGCUACUUUGCAUACACAGGUCGGUAUGUCUACCGUCUUCAAUCUCCUGUCGCAAACAGUAUGUGGGAAAUUUCUUGAGAUUAAAUUGGAAAAAAAUUAAAGAGGAUUUGGGUGAUACAAUUAUGUUUUCAAAGCUCUAAUUAAAUCUAGUUUCUCUGUUAAACUGUUCAAUGUAUGUUCAAUUCAUUGUCUGCUUCAUCUUGGUAAUGGAAUAAAUUUAUCUAUAUCAUCACAGGCAGCACGAAUAAUUGAAGCUGAAAUUGUUGAAGACAAUAAAAU